rnacentral:rRNA from 1 species
UGCGUAGGUGGUGAGGUAAGUCGGAUGUGAAAGCUCGGAGCUCAACUCCGAAAUGGCAUUGGAAACUACCUUGCUCGAGGGUUGGAGGGGGGACUGGAAUACUUGGUGUAGCAGUGAAAUGCGUAGAUAUCAAGUGGAACACCAGUGGCGAAGGCGAGUCCCUGGACAACUCCUGACACUGAGGCACGAAAGCUGGGAGGCAAACA